CCGAGUGGUCUGGACGAUUAUUGGGCCUAAAGCAUCCGUAGCCGGUUCUACAAGUCUUCCGUUAAAUCCACCUGCUUAACAGAUGGGCUGCGGAGGAUACUAUGGAGCUAGGAGGCGGGAGAGGCAAGCGGUACUUAGUGGGUAGGGGUAAAAUCCGUUGAUCCAUUGAAGACCACCAGUGGCGAAGGCGGCUUGCCAGAACGCACUCGACGGUGAGGGAUGAAAGCUGGGGGAGCAAACCGG
rnacentral:rRNA from 1 species